rnacentral:rRNA from 1 species
UACGGGGGGGGCAAGCGUUGUUCGGAAUUACUGGGCGUAAAGGGCUCGUAGGUGGCCAACUAAGUCAGACGUGAAAUCCCUCGGCUUAACCGGGGAACUGCGUCUGAUACUGGAUGGCUUGAGUUUGGGAGAGGGACGCGGAAUUCCAGGUGUAGCGGUGGAAUGCGUAGAGAUCCGGAAGAACACCGGUGGCGAAGGCGGCCUGCUGGGCAGUUUAGCUGACACUGAGGCGCGACAGCGUGGGGAGCAAACAGG